GAGGCGGGGCCUGGCCGAGAGAACUGCCGGAGUUUGGGCAGCCCGUCCUUCCUUUUUUUUUUUUGUCUAUUCUCCUCUUUCUGUGUGUUUUGUUUGUUUGUUUGUUUGUUUGUUCCCCUAUAACAGGUCAAAAUGUUAACGCUGUUGAUAAAUCAGUGUUUUCACAGCGGAGCCGUGUAGGAAGGCGGGAGUGCGUAAUGAGGGUUCAUUCAUUCUUUCAUUCAACAGGUUGCAGCUUCAGCUAUUCAUUACGUAUUACUUGAGUAACUGAUAUUACAGGUAUUGCUUGCUAAUACUGGAAGGUACACGAUUCAAGACUCCGAAGAGAUGAGAGUUUAAAGGCGAAUCUGGCACGUGUACACGGACAAUUUGAUGACGCAUUUGUGCAAUGCACUACAGAAGAAGGAACGUCCGAAGCAGCUUGGCAACGCGUAAAAUAGGUAGACAAAGAUGUCCUAACUGAAAAGUGUGGAUUGUUGGCCUUUACCAGACAGGAGGAUCAGCCUGGAUUCCCAGCCUUCCUUGGUCCAAACUACCCCACUGUCACCUGAUGUCAGCCUCUGAUGUUCCAUGUAUAAUUAAUGUGGUCACCCUGGUAACCAAAUCCUAAUUGAAAGUAAUCUCUUAACCCAACGUGGAGCUGGAACUCAUAACCCUGAGAUCAAGAGUCACAUGCUCCACCGACUGAGCCAGAGCCAGGAACCCCUCUGUUCUAACUGUAAAAGGAAAAUAAAGAAGAUAAUCGAUGGUGCAAAAGAUUGUAUAGAAAGAGAAUGAAUUACCUGACAAUACUCAGGCUUCUUUCUGUUAUAUAUAUCCUUUGGAAAAAAACUAUGGUGCUCUAAGCAUUUAUGUAACUUAAGAAAUUUGGAGUCUCUGGUUGAAAAGCUACAGUUUGAAGAGGAUUUAUAUUUUUUAAAAAUGAAAUAGCCAAGACUUGGACUGUAUUAAACAUCUGAAAACACAGUAAAUAAGGCCAAAUUAAAUGGUGGUGGGGAGAAGGGUACAUGGUAGGCUAACUUGAGCAGCAACCAAUAACAGUAACAAUACAGUUUAAAUGAUCAUCAAGAGCCAGACGCAAAGGUACUUCUGGAAAUUACUUCUUUCUCUGUUUUUUUAAUACCAGUUUUAUUGAAAUAUAAUUAACAAUUCGCCCAUUUAAAGUAUACAGUCCUAUGGGUUUCAGUAUGUUUACAGAGUUGUAUAGCCAUCACCACAAUCAAUUUUAGAAUAUUUUCAUCCCUCCCCAAUAAACCCUGCCCAUUAGUAGUCACUGCCUUUUCCCCACUACCCUCCCAUUCUACAACCCUAGGCAACCACUGGUCUACUUUUUAUCUGUAAAGAUUUCCUAUCCUAGACACUUCAUAUAAAUGGAAUCAUAUAAUACAUAGCCCUUUGUGACUACCCUUUCACUUAGCAUAAUGUUUCCUUUUUUUUUUUUAAGUUUAUUUAUUUAAAGAGAGACAGAGACAGCACACGUGGGGAAGGGCAGAGAUAGAGGGAGAGAGAGAGAAUCCAAAGCAGGCUCCAUGCUGCCAGCACAGAGACCAAUGCAUGGCUCAAAUCCAUGAAACUGUGAGAUCAUAACCUGAGCUGAAACCAAGAGGUAGACACUUAACGGACGGAGCCACCCAGGUGCCCCUAGCAUAAUGUUUUCAAGGUUCAUCCAUGAAGUAGUAUGUAUUAGUACUUAUUUCCUUAUUGCCAAAUAAUAUUCCAUUGUAUGGAUAUAACACAUUUCACUAUCCAUUCAUCAGUUGAUGGGCAGUUAGGUUGCUUCCCCCUUUUGGCUAUUAUGAAUAAUUUCAUGAACAUUCAUGUACAAAUUUUUGUUUAGAUAUACAUUUUUAAUAUUCUUGGGAACUUCAAAUAAACAACGUAGUUUCAACGUAGUUUUUGGAGCAGUCUGGCUUCAAAGGCUGUGCUCUUAGCAAUUAGGCAAUGUUGCCACUCUGUAUGAGAUUUUAUUUUUAAAAUAAAAGAGGCAAUAUCACCCCCCAUACAAAAAGACAAUAAAAAAUAA